rnacentral:rRNA from 1 species
UACGGGGGGAGCAAGCGUUGUUCGGAUUUACUGGGCGUAAAGGGCGCGUAGGCGGUCGUGACAAGUCACUUGUGAAAUCUCCGGGCUUAACUCGGAACGGUCAAGUGAUACUGUCGGACUAGAGUACAGAAGGGGCAACUGGAAUUCUCGGUGUAGCGGUGAAAUUCGUAGAUAUUCCCAAGAACACCAGUGGCGAAGGCGGCUCACUGGCCCGAUACUGACGCUGAGGCACGAAAGCGUGGGGAGCAAACAGG